GCUGAUCAGGAUUGUACGAUCGAGACUCAGAAUAAUUUGUGACUCUUAUUAUUCUAAGGAACUUCUUAGUCUGCUAAAAUUAAUUGGAAUUUUUUUGUUUUAUGAAACAGGAAGUUUCAACAGAAGUAAGAAAUUUCUUUUCAAUUGUCACUUUAUCUGGAAAGCCUCAUCUCUUAUAUGUGAUAUAUAAAAUACCAACUCUCAGACCUAGCAUAUGCAGCCACUGAAAUAAAAAUCCAAGGACUAAAUUCCUACAGCAGGUCUCAUUUUUGGAUUCUCAUCACACACAAAGAAUUGUAAUAUGCCUAACACUCAAACUGCAUCAACCACAGUUGAAAGAUUAAGCGCAAUCAAACUUUUGUAUAAUUCAUGAUAGGCCUCUUUGGUUGAAUUGAUUAAGCAAAGGGCCAACCACCACAUGAAAGUAUGCAAUCAAAUAUAAACAAUCUGAACUACUUUACCUAGUUCAGCUUGUUAGGGCAACAGUUUUAUGGGAAUCUGAAAGUUCACAGAGGUGUUACACACUGCGGAUUUUAUGCUGUUUGCUCUGGGUACUGCUGCUGCUGGGUGCUGAUCUAGCUGGUGGUGUGUUGUGCUGGGCAGGAUAUGAAGCAACAGAUGGACAGGGUCUGCACAAAUUUGAUUGACGACUGCGUGCAAGGAUGCAGGGGAAGUAUCCUGAGAUAAUGGUUAUUGAUUAGAGGAGGGUAAUCCUGAACUCUCAUUUCACUUUUUAUGUAACAUUAAGACUAGAAUAGUUGCAACUUGCAAUUAUUAUGAUGAAGCGAUAACUGUUUGGUCAUAAUUGAGCAACAUAUUAGGGAAUUAGCAGGUGGGUGAUAUUGUUUAUCACUCCAUCUACAUUAGUAUACUUGUGAAGUCUAAACGUAGAAACUAGAAAGUGUAGUUUUCUGCAUUCAUCAUCGAAAUAAUAUCAUCCCUAUUAUUUGUAUGAAUAAACGAUGAGCCAAGUCUUAAGUCUUAAGUUGUUAUUACUAAACUAAUCCAUUUCUGUGUACUUGUUCUUGUUCUUUCUUUUUUCUUUAACAUUGUGUAGAAAUAGAAAUCUCUAUGAGGUGGAUAAUGAGAAAUACAGCAACAGUUUGGGAUGACACUGCAGCAUAUAUAGUAAGUCCUUGGAUGAGAUAUACAUAUAUUGAAAUGGAUCCAGCGGUUCACAUUAUGUCGCAAGCAAAUAAUCUAGCCUUUUAUAUUAGCCUAUGGUAUAUACUAUCAUCUCUAAUCAUAGUACCAGUUUGAUUUAUGGAAAUGAUUUAUCACCAGUAUCUUCUUGUUCUGAGUCUUUCUCUGUUGUUUAAUUG
rnacentral:lncRNA from 1 species